CUAAAGACUUGUUCAGAGAUGCUGCAAGUGACUCACAUGACAUUCUGAACACAUGUUCCUUAUCCAUCAUCCCAGCUCCUGCCCACUAUACAACUUGUUCCAGCACACUUAUACAGAACAGCAGGAAGAAAGUGGAGAUCACUGAAGGGAGAGCACAUCCGUUCAUUGUGUGAGAACUCUUGCAAAUCCAUGAGGAGACAAAGUUGAAGACAGAAAUGGACUGUGCCCUCAAGCACUGUAGUCAAGUCAAGGAGACAGAAAACUCUGGAGUUCCGCUGUUCUCCUUGAUCGGUGAGCUUGGUCUGGCUGGAUGUUCUUGCUGAUCUUCUGGUGAAGGGGCCUGUUGCAGUGAGUAUCAAAUGUCUUUGCCCAAGGCAGAAUUGCACUGCCGUUGCCGGGGGUCAAGCUAUGUA
rnacentral:lncRNA from 1 species